UACGGAGGGUGCGAGCGUUGUCCGGAAUCAUUGGGCGUAAAGGGCGCGUAGGUGGCCUGCUAAGCGUGCGGUGAAAGUCGGGGCUCAACCCCCGAUCGGCCGUGCGAACUGGGAGGCUUGAGCACUGUAGAGGCAGGCGGAAUUCCGGGUGUAGCGGUGGAAUGCGUAGAGAUCCGGAAGAACACCAACGGCGAAGGCAGCUCGCUAGGACGGUACUGACGCUGAGACGCGAAAGCGUGGGAGCGAACAGG
rnacentral:rRNA from 1 species